AAGUCGAGGGGCAGCAUGAACUUAGCUUGCUAAGUUUGAUGGCGACCGGCGCACGGGUGAGUAACACGUAUCCAACCUGCCGAUGACUCGGGGAUAGCCUUUCGAAAGAAAGAUUAAUACCCGAUGGCAUAGUUCUUCCGCAUGGUAGAACUAUUAAAGAAUUUCGGUCAUCGAUGGGGAUGCGUUCCAUUAGGUAGUAGGCGGGGUAACGGCCCACCUAGCCGACGAUGGAUAGGGGUUCUGAGAGGAAGGUCCCCACAUUGGAACUGAGACGCGGUCCAAACUCC
rnacentral:rRNA from 1 species